AUGCAAUGAUCUCAAGGAUCGAAUAUACAAUACUGCUUGAAUAAGAGUUGACAGUACAAAAAAAUGGAAAGACUCCAAAGGGCUGCGAUGACCAAGCAGCUCUACCUUGAAUCCUUGCGAUCAACACACUAACUCUGCCCGACUUUGGUAUCUCCAAUACCUGGCACUGCUAAAAAAUGUGCAGAAGUGUAGUAUGAGUACACCAUAAUCGGUACCCAAUAAGUGUCAAGGCUAACCUCUGUGGAAUAGUGACAAGGUACAAUCAAGACACUCACUAGUCAAAUAACCUGUGCAAAAUAGUAAUAUAUAAUAGUACUAGAAAAUAACUAGCAGUGAUAGCAACAAAAAUCAACCAGUGAUAUAAAUAGCAAGGCAACAAGAACACCAUAAUUAUUGCUCAAACGAAUAAGGAACACAAGUACAACCAAUUAAACAAGUCCUUCAUAUAUAAAUCUUUCACAUAUAAUUCUUUCGAAUAAAUACCUUCCGAAUACAUUUCUUUCAAAUAAAUAUCUUUCGAAUAUAAAAUUCUUUCAAGUACAUAUCUUUCGAAUAUAAAAUUCUUUCAAGUAAAUAUCUUUCAAAUAAAAGUCACUCUAUGACACCUCAUUUCAUUAUCAUAAGACACGGGUCUCAGCCCACUUUCAUAUUGUCGUAACACGGGUCUCAGCCCACUUUCAUAUUUCAAUGGCACCUUGCGCCCAUAUUUCUAUCAAAACCGCACGGACAACUCACGUGCCAAUAAUAAAAAUCAUCAUAUUUUCCUAGCACCUCGUACUUAUAUUUCUUUCAUAACCGCACGGGCAACUCACGUGCCAAUAAUAUAAUCAUUAUAUUUCCCCGGCACCUCGUGCCCAUAUUUCAUAUCACAUCUACACGGACAGUUCACGUGCCAAUAACAUUAUCUGCCUAGCAAUAGCCACAGGCUCACAAUUUCAACAUAAAUCAGACUAUUAUGAAGUUUACCGAAACAACAAGACAAGUUGCACAAGAUAUAAAAUAAGCACAAGGAAAAUCACAAUAUCACAUCAAUAUUUCAAACGCAAUAACCCCAUAUCAUCACAUAAAAAUUACAAACACAAUAACCCCACCUUAUCACAUAUCAUCCCUUAUAGUAGCCACCCUUAUCACUCCUAUAAUAGCCUCCUUUAUCCCUCCGUCCUGACAAUAUCAAUAGUCAUUCUUAUCACUCUAAUAACCCCCCUUAUCGCUCCUAUAAUAGACCCCCNNNNNNNNNNNNNNNNNNNNNNNNNNNNNNNNNNNNNNNNNNNNNNNNNNNNNNNNNNNNNNNNNNNNNNNNNNNNNNNNNNNNNNNNNNNNNNNNNNUCACAAUAUCACAUCAAUAUUUCAAACGCAAUAACCCCAUAUCAUCACNUAAAAAUUACAAACACAAUAACCCCACCUUAUCACAUAUCAUCCCUUAUAGUAGCCACCCUUAUCACUCCUAUAAUAGCCUCCUUUAUCCCUCCGUCCUGACAAUAUCAAUAGUCAUUCUUAUCACUCUAAUAACCCCCCUUAUCGCUCCUAUAAUAGACCCCCUUAUCGCUCCAUUAAAUAGCCUCCCUUAUCACCCCACCCAGACAAUAUCCCAACACACAUAACAAUAGUGAAAUGCCACCCUUAUGCCUGCAUAAUGUCAACAAUGGAAUGCCACCCUUAUAGCCACAUAACAUUAACCCAAAUUACACAAUAAUUUACACAGAAUAUUAUCACAACAGCACAACAUCAUCAACUCAUAUUUACAAAUUCCCCGAAGGCCACAACCAUUCCAAGGGUACAAUAAAGUCAAUUAAUUUCACAACACAUAGUCCACGUCUCAACACAAUGUAUAUAAAAUCUCAAAAACAAACACAAGGAUAGGAAAAUAACUCAUCACACGACAAAGCCUUCUUUAAUCCAAUUUUUUGAUAAAUAUAUAAACGCCUCAAUUUAAACUAAUUUAAUUAAUUAUUUGUAGAUGAAAAAUCCAUAAUGUGAUUAUUUCCAAGAAAUAUCAAAUCAACAACACACAGAAUUCACAUAAAAAUCCAAGUGACAAUAACACCAAAAUAUCAUAUAAAAUACAAAUUUGACAAACAAAGAAUGAGGCAUGACAAAUCAAGGAUUUACUAAGUUCCAACAAUUUUUCAAUUUAAUAUACAAGGGCGUCUACGAAUUUCAACCGAUAUAAUUUGCACAUAAGGUUAGGCAAGAUACUUUCCUCGACGAAACUAAACCGAUACUUCAAAUGAUCUUCGUAAGUGAAACCACCUCUGGACGGCUCAAAUCAGAAAUUCGCCUCUUAAUAAUACUACGAUGGUCCACCACACUAAAGCACGUUUAAUCUACAACAAUGCAACACAAUUGCACCAAUAUUAGCAAGAUUUCUAUUCUUUAAGUCAUUUAUACAUUUUAUCAAACAUCUAAUGUGCAUAUUUUUCCAUAACUUCCCGUAGCACAUGCAUGCCCAACAAUUCACUCCCAACCCACAAAUCUUAUCAAUUAAUUCAUUUUACAAUCUCUACAAUACCAACACACCUAGGUUGGGAAUUUAUUGGUUCCAAUCACCAUCCUAUAAGUCCUAACACAUAUUUCAUACAUAAAUAAUCAACAUGAAUUAGUUAGAGAAUGGUAGACUUACCUCUUGUAGACCAAAUCUUGAAAGACAACUAUAGGGGUGUUCUUGAGAUUUUG
rnacentral:lncRNA from 1 species